GAUAAUCCACCCCUGUCCGGACUGGCAAAUUUGUCUUGCCAGUCUCAGGAGGGGAACCCGGUGAAAAUCCGGGGCUGUGCCCGCAACUGUAAACAGUGGCUUUUAUCCGGUCGACUGUCAGCCAGAUUGCCUCCCGGACGUGCAAACCAAUU
rfam:Oceanobacter sp. HI0075 HI0075_c162, whole genome shotgun sequence.